rnacentral:rRNA from 1 species
UGGGGAAUAUUGGACAAUGGGCGAAAGCCUGAUCCAGCCAUGCCGCGUGUGUGAAGACGGUCUUCGGAUUGUAAAGCACUUUAAGUUGGGAGGAAGGGCAGUAAGCGAAUAUCUUGCUGUUUUGACGUUACCGACAGAAUAAGCACCGGCUAACUCUGUGCCAGCAGCCGCGGUAAUACAGAGGGUGCAAGCGUUAAUCGGAAUUACUGGGCGUAAAGCGCGCGUAGGUGGUUCGUUAAGUUGAAUGUGAAAGCCCCGGGCUCAACCUGGGAACUGCAUCCAAAACUGGCGAGCGAGAGUAGGGCAGAGGGUGGUGGAAUUUCCUGUGUAGAGGUGAAAUGCGUAGAUAUAGGAAGGAACACCAGUGGCGAAGGCGACCACCUGGGCUCAUACUGACACUGAGGUGCGAAAGCGUGGGGAGCAAACAGG